rnacentral:rRNA from 1 species
CCGGAGGAAGGUGGGGACGACGUCAGAUCAUCAUGCCCCUUAUGACCUGGGCAACACACGUGCUACAAUGGGAAGUACAACGAGUCGCAAACCGGCGACGGUAAGCUAAUCUCUUAAAACUUCUCUCAGUUCGGACUGGAGUCUGCAACUCGACUCCACGAAGGCGGAAUCGCUAGUAAUCGCGAAUCAGCAUGUCGCGGUGAAUACGUUCCCGGGUCUUGUACACACCGCCCGUCAAAUCAUGGGAGUCGGAAGUACCCAAAGUCGCUUGGCUAACUUUUAGAGGCCGGUGCCUAAGGUAAAAUCGAUGACUGGGAUUAAGUCGUAACAAGGUAGCCGUAGGAGAACCUGCGGCUGGAUCACCUCCUUUCUAAGGA